GGGUUGUGAGGUUAAGCGACUAAGCGUACACGGUGGAUGCCCUGGCAGUCAGAGGCGAUGAAGGACGUGCUAAUCUGCGAAAAGCGUCGGUAAGGUGAUAUGAACCGUUAUAACCGGCGAUGUCCGAAUGGGGAAACCCAGUGCAAUUCGUUGCACUAUCGUUAACUGAAUACAUAGGUUAACGAGGCGAACCGGGGGAACUGAAACAUCUAAGUACCCGAGGAAAAGAAAUCAACCGAGAUUCCCCAGUAGCGGCGAGCGAACGGGGAGCAGCCCAGAGUCUGAAUCAGCUUGUGUGUUAGUGGAACGGUCUGGAAAGUCCGACGGUACAGGGUGAUAGUCCCGUACACCAAAAUGCACAGGUUGUGAACUCGAAGAGUAGGGCGGGACACGUGGUAUCCUGUCUGAAUAUGGGGGGACCAUCCUCCAAGGCUAAAUACUCCUGACUGACCGAUAGUGAACCAGUACCGUGAGGGAAAGGCGAAAAGAACCCCGGCGAGGGGAGUGAAAAAGAACCUGAAACCGUGUACGUACAAGCAGUGGGAGCACCUUCGGGUGUGACUGCGUACCUUUUGUAUAAUGGGUCAGCGACUUAUAUUCUGUAGCAAGGUUAACCGUAUAGGGGAGCCGCAGGGAAACCGAGUCUUAACUGGGCGUUAAGUUGCAGGGUAUAGACCCGAAACCCGGUGAUCUAGCCAUGGGCAGGUUGAAGGUUGGGUAACACUAACUGGAGGACCGAACCGACUAAUGUUGAAAAAUUAGCGGAUGACUUGUGGCUGGGGGUGAAAGGCCAAUCAAACCGGGAGAUAGCUGGUUCUCCCCGAAAGCUAUUUAGGUAGCGCCUCGUGAACUCAUCUUCGGGGGUAGAGCACUGUUUCGGCUAGGGGUCAUCCCGACUUACCAACCCGAUGCAAACUACGAAUACCGAAGAAUGUUAUCACGGGAGACACACGGCGGGUGCUAACGUCCGUCGUGAAGAGGGAAACAACCCAGACCGCCAGCUAAGGUCCCAAAGUCAUGGUUAAGUGGGAAACGAUGUGGGAAGGCACAGACAGCCAGGAUGUUGGCUUAGAAGCAGCCAUCAUUUAAAGAAAGCGUAAUAGCUCACUGGUCGAGUCGGCCUGCGCGGAAGAUGUAACGGGGCUAAACCAUGCACCGAAGCUGCGGCAGCGACACUAUGUGUUGUUGGGUAGGGGAGCGUUCUGUAAGCCUGCGAAGGUGUGCUGUGAGGCAUGCUGGAGGUAUCAGAAGUGCGAAUGCUGACAUAAGUAACGAUAAAGCGGGUGAAAAGCCCGCUCGCCGGAAGACCAAGGGUUCCUGUCCAACGUUAAUCGGGGCAGGGUGAGUCGACCCCUAAGGCGAGGCCGAAAGGCGUAGUCGAUGGGAAACAGGUUAAUAUUCCUGUACUUGGUGUUACUGCGAAGGGGGGACGGAGAAGGCUAUGUUAGCCGGGCGACGGUUGUCCCGGUUUAAGCAUGUAGGCUGAUUGUCCAGGCAAAUCCGGAUAAUCAAGGCUGAGGUGUGAUGACGAGGCACUACGGUGCUGAAGUAACAAAUGCCCUGCUUCCAGGAAAAGCCUCUAAGCAUCAGGUAACAUUAAAUCGUACCCCAAACCGACACAGGUGGUCAGGUAGAGAAUACCAAGGCGCUUGAGAGAACUCGGGUGAAGGAACUAGGCAAAAUGGUGCCGUAACUUCGGGAGAAGGCACGCUGGUGUGUAGGUGAAGUCCCUGCGGAUGGAGCUGAGACCAGUCGAAGAUACCAGCUGGCUGCAACUGUUUAUUAAAAACACAGCACUGUGCAAACACGAAAGUGGACGUAUACGGUGUGACGCCUGCCCGGUGCCGGAAGGUUAAUUGAUGGGGUUAUCCGUAAGGAGAAGCUCUUGAUCGAAGCCCCGGUAAACGGCGGCCGUAACUAUAACGGUCCUAAGGUAGCGAAAUUCCUUGUCGGGUAAGUUCCGACCUGCACGAAUGGCGUAAUGAUGGCCAGGCUGUCUCCACCCGAGACUCAGUGAAAUUGAACUCGCUGUGAAGAUGCAGUGUACCCGCGGCAAGACGGAAAGACCCCGUGAACCUUUACUAUAGCUUGACACUGAACAUUGAGCCUUGAUGUGUAGGAUAGGUGGGAGGCUUUGAAGCGUGGACGCCAGUCUGCGUGGAGCCAACCUUGAAAUACCACCCUUUAAUGUUUGAUGUUCUAACGUUGGCCCCUGACCGGGGUUGCGGACAGUGUCUGGUGGGUAGUUUGACUGGGGCGGUCUCCUCCCAAAGCGUAACGGAGGAGCACGAAGGUUAGCUAAUCCUGGUCGGACAUCAGGAGGUUAGUGCAAUGGCAUAAGCUAGCUUGACUGCGAGCGUGACGGCGCGAGCAGGUGCGAAAGCAGGUCAUAGUGAUCCGGUGGUUCUGAAUGGAAGGGCCAUCGCUCAACGGAUAAAAGGUACUCCGGGGAUAACAGGCUGAUACCGCCCAAGAGUUCAUAUCGACGGCGGUGUUUGGCACCUCGAUGUCGGCUCAUCACAUCCUGGGGCUGAAGUAGGUCCCAAGGGUAUGGCUGUUCGCCAUUUAAAGUGGUACGCGAGCUGGGUUUAGAACGUCGUGAGACAGUUCGGUCCCUAUCUGCCGUGGGCGCUGGAGAAUUGAGGGGGGCUGCUCCUAGUACGAGAGGACCGGAGUGGACGCAUCACUGGUGUUCGGGUUGUCAUGCCAAUGGCACUGCCCGGUAGCUAAAUGCGGAAGAGAUAAGUGCUGAAAGCAUCUAAGCACGAAACUUGCCCCGAGAUGAGUUCUCCCUGAGACUUUAAGUCUCCUGAAGGAACGUUGAAGACGACGACGUUGAUAGGCCGGGUGUGUAAGCGCAGCGAUGCGUUGAGCUAACCGGUACUAAUGAACCGUGAGGCUUAACCUUACAACGCCGAAG
rnacentral:rRNA from 1 species